ACCAAACAGCUUCUAGAGGAAAAGGAUUCGAACCUUCAUUUAAAAAUUCAAAAUUUUUAGUACUCCCAUCUAUACUAUCCCCUA
rnacentral:tRNA from 1 species